ACUUCGAUAGCUUAGCGGUAACAAGCAGUUGGUCGUAAACCUGAAGACCUUGGUUCGAAUCCCAGUCGAGGUC